GCAGCUCAGUGGCAGAGCAUGAGACUCUUAAUCUCAAGGUUGUGGGUUUGAGACCAAAAGAUUCCUGCACUG